CCGCCCCCGGGCCCGUGCGCCGGGACCCGCCCGCCGCCGCGGGACCGGCCCGCCAGGCCCGAGCGGCCGGCGCAGACCCGGCCCGGGCUGGGGAGCGGGCGCGGCGCCGGCACCCCGGGUGCCCGGGGCAUUAAAGCGGUAACCGGGCCGCUGGUGGCGGUGACUUACCUGCGCCGUGCCGCGCCUCCCGCUGGCAGCCAGCCCACCGACUGCGGGGAUCGGUGCAGGCACCCUCCGCCCCCAAAGCUCUUGAUCUUCACGCGGGAGAAGUGACAUCCAGAGGCACAAGUGCAAGGCGAUGCCAGAGACAAAGAACAAGAAUUUCCAUUAUCCAUAAGCUCACAGGUGAGACGUGACAUAGGAGAAACAGAAGCAAUUAAUCCAGACUAGAAAGCAACCCAAAAGAGUGCCUAUGAGGGAGAUGAAACUACAAGGACUGUUUGGACGUAGCCAGUGACAGCAGACAGCUGUUACAGGUGCAGUACUACACCAGCUCUGCCUCCCACAUGCUGAACUGCUGUCAGGGUUUUAUGAUCCCACCACAGGAAGGAUCUGAUGCUGAAUCAGUGUUAACAGACAUGCUGACUUGCCAACCAAACUGAGGAUAAAGUUUAUCAAAGAUUACUGGAAAAGUCCCAUCACAGCCUCGUCCCCAUCUCUGUUGGUGCGUCUUAAUUUGCAGGACUAAGUUUCUGAGACAAACAGUUUUCUGUGACCAUACUUCAUUAUACUUGAAUGCUUGGCUUGCUGCAGAGCAGACACUGUGUACAAGAACACCAUUCCUUUGCCCUGCAGCACUUGAAAAUUCAAGCCACUUGGUUUUCGGUUCUCACUGGAAAGCUGCACCCUAUUUAUCAUGCAGUUUCAUUAAGUGACAGGUGCAUCGGGAAGCUUGGACCUAGAGCACAUCCUGAAAAACAGCCAAACAGCUCUUUCUGUUGCAGAAUGCUGCUCUGUGUCAGCUGUUUUUGCUGGUACUCUCCUCCUUCAGCUUCAGAACCCCCAUAGAAUGUUGCUAAAUCUAUCACCCAUGGAGGCACCUAGAACAGCUCCAGCGGGAAGUUCACUGGAACAGGCUCAGAGGAAAAAACUUUUCUAAGAAGUCCCAAGUACUUCAGCUUCCUAGCCAACUGGAGGAGGAUCAAACAAAGUGGGAGAAGCUGAGGUGUGCAAGGAGCUCUGAGAACUGCUACCCUUGACUGCUCCAGUGGAACCUGCAUCCCAGAAGGGAUGAGAAAUUCACCAAGUCCAGUACUGCAUGAUGCCCCAGAAAGUGAGGAUUUAGCUAGUGAUGCAUGGAUUAACACAGCCUCUAAUUUAGGAAACCCCUCACCUGUAAUUUUUGGCAUCUGAAGUCUAUUCAUUCCAUGUUUGGAAUGAAUGGUUGAACAUGUUCCAUGUUUGGAACACUUUUGCCUAGGAACCUGCACGGGCCACUGCCUUGGGCAGGAUGGGCCCUUUGACAGCAAAGCUGUCACUUAGUGCAAGUCCACUUGGUUUAUUCUGCAGAAAGCAAGGACUGGGCAUUGAAAGAACAGAUGAAAACCUCAGGUGAUACGAUCCCAUUUAUGGGAAAUUAACCAACUGCCAAGGCAGUCUUAGGAACACUGUGGGGAAAAGACUGCCAAGGUGAAAGAAGCUGGGUCAAAGAGAAUAGGAAGACCCACAGCUUCAAGGCUCAACCUCUUCUGCACCAGUCUCCAGGAAUUACAGGCUAGAUCUAAGAGGAACUAUGGGUACCCCCAGUGCAGUAUGCAUGUGUGAGAGAGAUCUGCCAGCAGCAGCUGCACCAGGUCUUUGCAGGAAAGAAGUAUCAUCACUGAGAGGUCUAAUGUCAAUGGGAACAGAAGGGAUAAACCUGAAGCUCUGCUUCAGGAUCUGUGUGUGACGGAUCCAGGCACAGAUUGUCAGGAAAGACUGACAGACUGCUUUGGUAGUAACUCUCCACAGACUUGCCAGUGAAGUCUGGUAAUUAGCUCAUUUUAAGAAAAAAAAAAAAAAUCCAUGGCUGUAAAUUCAGGUGAUUUCAGCUACCCCUGUGUUUAGCUAAAGGACUAUUGUCUUAGGAGCAUGAAUACUAAUUAGCCUUCUACAAUACUAUUGAGUCCUCUUUUCUUGUUAGGCAUGCUCUUUUAGAAGGAUGGGACACUCAUGCCUGUGUUAGCAGUAUACAGUCAUUCUGGCUGUCUCUGUGAGACCCCAAUAGCUAUAAAAAUGAAGGUCUACGCAAGAGACAGCACAUACAGGAAAAUGCUGACAAAUCAGGAUUUUACUUUAUUCAAUGUGAAAGCUGAACCAUUUGCCUGGAAUGAUGCUGAUGUGGACGGAUAAUCUGUCCAAGUACCAGUGAGAUACUAAAAAAAGCCUUCUUGUGUACCUGCUUUGCUUCAGACUGCUACUUUCCAAAUUAUCUCGGCUCUUCCUGCUCAUCUCCUAUGCACAAGUACAGCAGUAUUAGACUUCAAAUUUGAACACAAGUCAGCAGCAGGAACUAGACAACAGCACUGCAUGGGUUAAGGCCCUGAAACUUGAGGCCCUGGGCCAAAGAAAACGUCAGUGGUAUGCAGCUCCAUAAUUAGGUUCAUAUAUGCAGGAUUUAAGCUGGGGAUUAGUUACCUCUUUUGCCCAAGCAUUCAAAUCUAAGGCAAGGGACUCAGGAAAAAGUGUUUCAAAGCUGGGUAGGCAGGGUGGGAAGAAACAGGAGCAAGCAACAGAUACAGGAAUGGCUGGGACCAGUUCAUGAUGAAUUCAGAUGAAAGUCUGCCAGAAUCAUGAAAUACCUGACUGAGCUUACUGAAGGCACCCACAUCCAUUGGGGUGAGACCUCAAGCCUUGUUUUUCAGGGAAGCAGUCCUGUAGAAGUAGGUCUUUCGGCAGAGAGCGUACAUACAGGAGCUCACAAGCUCUCUUUUUCCCUGUUACACUGAAAUAAUCCAAUUAAAAAACUCAAGAACCAAUCCUGCACAGCCGUUCCCAGGCUUCUGUGGUGCAGUAUUUUUCUCACCUCCACUUAGGCUGUGUCCUCUUUAAAACAGUUCCUUUGGGCCUACAGGGAAGGCCCGCAGCCUUACAAGAGUUAAAGUUUCUGACACCUCUGCCGAUAAGGAGCCAGUGAUGCAGAGUCAAGGCAUGAAGGCCCAUCUAGAGCAGCAGCCUGCUGGCCUCCAUUUUUCACCAAUGCUGUUUCCUUUAGGGAUUAGAAAAGCUGAGCUCUUUACUCGUCAGGCCCAGUCUGUAAGCUCCAGCACUCAAGCAAAAAGGUUUCAUCCUUACCCCAAACAUUUCUGGGAUGUUUUCAUUGAAACCUAGAGCCUCUCCUCUGACAGUUGCCACCAGACAGAGCUAUUCAAUAGUUUGUGCAGCUGCACCCAAACAGCUUGCUGCCAUAAAUAAGGCACCAAAGCAUCCCAGCUGCUCAGUUCUGCUUCUGUUCGGUCAAUUCUGGUACUAGGAAGUUACACGCACUCUGCUUCAAGAUAUACACGGGCCUAUGUAACACACCACAGCUACCAGUAUGAUUAUCAUUCAGUAUCGGCAUACCUAAACAUAGACUCCAGGAACUACAGGAAGACAAAUUUUGUCAGGUUUAGCCUUCUUCUGACCUUCAGGCAGUUACUGCAGAUCUGUGCCUGAAUCUUAAUGAGAUCAGCAGAGUUUUCUAUAUUAAUCUAGGGUUGCAAAUCUAGAAAGGUCCAUUUGUGUGGAGUCAUGUGGCAAGGUUUCCAGAUGUUAAGGCUGCUUCUGCAAAAAGCCCGUUCUGAAUUGCCCACGUUUUUCUAAUAACUCACCGAGACGACCAAUGCUGUCAAAGGAUCAAUUAAGAAAGCCCUACACAGAUAAAACUAGCCAAAAACUGUUACUCUGCAGAGUGGUGUUUUCUGUCAAUAGGAAAAGUCUGAAAAAGCCUGAAAGCGAAGUAACCUGAAGACACCUUCUUACUUUGUCACCCUUUCAGAAAACUCUUUAGACUACAACCAUUUAAGAGGAGGAGUAUCAAGACUGAAACCUGGUUAACAGGCUAACUUAGGGGAACCCAUUCUUUUGUCUGUACUCGUACCAGAUCUAUGCUGCACCUGAAGACAUCUACAACUUUUUCCAGUUUGCUGAGAAAGCGUGGCAUGAAAUACAAUACUAGGAAGAAUACACGAUUAAAUGGGAGUUGGUGACUGCACAGACAUCUCUGAAGCAUCGCGUAUGUGGGAACAGGGAGGGAACGGUGAGAGGCCAUCAGUAAAUUCGAGGAAGGGUCCAACACAACCAGUGUUCCUGGGGACCAACAGACUGGCUCACCAGCCUAUGGCAGCAGCCUGCCAGUUUCUCAUGGUGCAACUUUGUGCUCCUCUUGUCACACAUAUCACCCUUUGAGUCACCGACAGCUUCAGGCUUGUACAGUCACCUAGAAGGCUAACUAUAUGGAUGGUGACCCCCCCGAACUUGCCCAAGAGAGGAACACUACAACAUCCAACAUCACAUAGCACACCCACUGAUUAUCCUCAUAACCUUCUCAUCCUUUUCUGGGUUACAGCUUUCCUACUCAGAAUCUCCCACUGCUCAAUAAACCAUUUUCAACUUAAACACAAAACAGACUAUAUCCACUUAUGCCAAGCCUAACAUGCUACUGACCUGCCACGCUAACCUGUCAAAUGCGUAUUUCUAUAUCUGCUUCAAAAUCCUAAAUCAUUUCAACAUCUAUGACUGGCCUAAAUCAGAUUUCUGUUAAGAUGUAUUAAGAUAUUUGGGGGUUGGACUAGAUGACCUUUAAAAGGUCCCUUCCAACCCAAACUAUUCUAUGAUUCUAUGAUCCUUCCUCUUUCUUUUUUUUUUCCCUAUUUAGGAUUAUAUUUUGUCAGCUAUUCCUAAUGAAUUUGUAUUUAGGUCACACUCUUGGCAUUUUAAUUACAAUGCUGUACAACACCUGAUCGUAGGUUCAGAAUCACAGAAUGGUUUGGUUUGGAAGGGACCUCUAAAGAUCGUCUAGUCCAACCCUCCUGCCAUGGGCAAGGACAUCUUCCACUAGAUCAGGUUGCUCAGAGCCGUGUCCAGCCUGACUGUAAAUGUUUCCAGGGAUGGGGCACCUACGACCUCUCUGGGCAACCUGGGUUGCACUCAGCGACCCACCACCUGGGUCACCACCCUCAGCGUAAAAAAUUUCUUCCUUAUGUCCAGUGUAAACGUACCCUCUUUCAGUUUAAAAUGGUUGUCCCAUGUCCUGUCACUAUAGGCCUUGCUAAAAAGACCCUCUCUGUCUUUCUUAUAAGCCCCCUUUAAGUACUGAAAGGCCACAAUAAGGCCUUCUCCUCUCCAGGCUGAACAACCCUAACUCUCUUAGCCCUUCUUCACCACAGAGGUGUCCCUACUCUGGAUCUGCUCUAACUGGUCCAUGUCCUUCUUGUACUGGGAACCCCAGAGCUGG